AUGGGACAACUAGCCCUGUCUGUUGGUCCCCUGAGGCCUCACAGGGUGAAUGUCCAGAAAGCCCUGAUUCUGGCUAGCCCUUACGGUGGAUUUCCUAGACCCCACCCGCUGCAGGAUGCCCAAAGAAGCUGCAAAAUAGGCUCUCUGAAGGGAAGGAUUUCUGCCCCAGCAACAGGUGAUCAGCCUCCAGGAAGGCCAAGGAUUGGCUGGGCUGCAAAGCAUUCAAAGCACAAAAGGGAAACCUCGCAAGGCUUGCUGAAGGGAUCAAGGGAAUCCCCAACACUGUCCAGCAGUGACAAGGACAAGAGACCUCUCUCAGCACAUCCCUUCAAAAAAGAAAAUCCAAUGGAAUAUUGGAGUGUCAUUACCCCCAAACAUGCGGCAGCCCUGUCUUUAGAGGCUUUUCCCCUGGCACUGAGCAAACAGCUGGAAGAAGAGUUAAGUGGAAUGUCCACAGAAAGAGGAAAUAUCUCCGGAAAGCAAGAAGUGGAGCUAGGGAGAGGAGAAGGAAUUCUGAAGAGGAGGGAGGAUUCAGCUACUGCUGUGAGACUGGAAAAUGCUAUGGUUGGUGCUGGGCAAGACACUCCAUCCCCACUGCUUCUGCAAGACUACAGGGCCCAAUCUCAUGGAGGCGCCUAACCCCAGGUGAGGACCAGGUCUGGAUGCUCAGUGAGCAUGUGGGAUCAAAAGGCACCACUGCUGGACUCUCAGUAUACUCCAUCUCCUGUCCAUGUCCCUUAAGAAAAGUUCCUGAGGGCUGGAGAGUUGGCUCAGAGGUUAAGGGCACUGACUGCUUUUCCAGAGGUCCUGAGUUCAAUUCCCAGCAACCACAUGGUGUUCACAGCCAUCUUUAAUGAGAUCUGGUGUUGUCUUCUGGACGGCAGGCAUAUAUGCAGGCAAUAAUAUAUAUAUAUUAAAAACUAUAUAAAACUAUAAACAUUAAAAACUAUAUAAAAAGAAAGAAAAGGAAGAGAGAGAGAGAGAGAGAGAGAGAGAGAGAGAGAGAGAAAGAAAGAAAGAAAGAAAGAAAGAAAGAAAGAAAGAAAGAAAGAAAAGCUCCUGAGGGGAAAAAGCCUGGAUCACCCAGCCUCUACAUUCUGGCCUUGUGUAAUCCCCACAGAGGAGAGAGAGAACAUUCAUUUGUUCAUGCUUUCAUCCAUUUGUUCAUUGACUCAGUCAUCAAAACAGCCUGGCCCUGGACAAUAGGAACCCCCACGUGCCAAGAACUGAAGAGUCUCUGGGCUGCUGAGAGUCCAAGAAAGACAGGAAGAGGUGACUACCAGAUCCAAAGGGUACAGCCACCUGGUCACCCACAGCAUGGAAGAGGCAACAGUAAUGUUCAGCACUGAAGCUUACUUAAUAGACUGAUAUUCCUUAAACAAGUCUUCUAGAAUUACAAAAUAGUAGGAAAUUCCAUUUACAGCGGCUGGAGACAUGGCUCAGAGGUUCCCAGCAACCAUGUUGGAUGGCUUACAACCACCUACAACUCUAGUUCCCCCUGAAGGUACCUGCAUACACAUGGCACACAUAUCAACAAGCAGGAACACAUAUAUACAAACAUAAAUAAAGCUUUGAAAGCAAUUCCCAUUACAGUCAGGAACAAGACAGUGGUGUCCACUUCAGUAUUGUGUUUAUUAUCAACAUUGCUCUGAGAGUUCUAGACAGCACAAAUAAGCAAGAGGUUGACACUAUAAAUCAGGACAGAUAAACUUUCCACAGUCACCAAUAUGAGUUUUGAGAUGGGAGCUCCCAAGCAGCUGAGACAUUUUGUUUGCUUUGAUUUUGUUUUGGUUUUUUGAAAGAGUUUCUCUGUGUAACAGUCCUGGCUGUCCUGGAAUUCACUCUAUAGACUAGGCUGGUCUCCAAUCACUGAGAUCCACCUACCGCUGCCUCCAAAGUGCUGGGGUUAAAGGCCUGCGCCACCACCGCCCAGCUAACUUAGACACUGUUAUUAGUACUAAUAGAAGAGUUCAGUAGGGCCACUGAAACCAAUAUUCCUAUGCAGUAACCAGGAAGGAACCAGGAUGAAAAUACUCACAACAGUCUCACAGAACAGAAAAACACAAGAAUGAACAUGAGAAAUACACACACCUUGGAGCAGUGAUGAAGCUUGGGGCCAGGGUGCUGGGCUGAUCCCCACUGAGGGGAAGAAGACAGUGAGGGACAGAAGGGCCCAGUAAGGGUUAAAAAACUUUCUCACACAAGAGAAGGCAGGCAGGCAAGUAGAAAAACUACAUGAAUACAAGUCUGAGUUGUUACUGAGAAUUAAAAAAAAAAAAAAAAAAAAAAAAAAAAAAAAAAAGCCUGGAUGUGGCACAGCUGGAGAGUUUGCUUGUUGGCUAAGAGCACUGGCUGGUCUUCCAAAGGUCCCAGGUUUGAUUCCCAGCACCUACAUGACUUCUCACAGUGGCCUGUAACUCCAGUCCCCCAGGAUCCGACACCUUUUUCUGGCACCAGACACACACGCAGUGCACAGACAGACAUGCAAACAAAACACCCACACACAAAUAAAAUGACCUGUACAAGUAAGACGAUUAAUUCUCUCGUCUCAAACUCACUAUGUAGCUGAGGUCACAUGACCUUAAACCUCAGAUCCUUCCUCCUCCACCUCCCAGUUACAGGCAUGAGCCACCACCACACCUUGCUCUGCAGCAGCGCUGAAUAUUGAACAUGAACUGAGCACUCAUCCCCAACUCAUCCCCAGUCACUCCCAGCCUGUCUUGUCGUUAAAUGUCAUGUGACAGUACAUAAAAAUUAAGCAUCGUAGAACCCAUCAUGAAACCACCUAGGAGCUAUCUCCUAUCCUACUAUUUCCCGAAAGCUGAUUCACACCUAAAUACAGAACAUUAUCUGUAAUCCCAGCACUCAGGAGCAGUGUUCCUUCAUUCGAAGUCAACCUGGGCUGCUUGAAACUGAUACACAUGAAAAAGGAGAGAGAGAGAGAACACAAGUGGGCAAGGGAGCACACAAGUCUGAGCACAAUUUUUAGUUUUUUGUCAACCUGACACAAGCUGGAAUCACUGGGAAGAGGGAUGUCAACUGAGGAAUUGUCUUCAUCACACUGGCCUGUGGGCAAGUCUAUGAGACACUUUCUUGAUUACUGAUGUGAGUGGGCCCAGGCCACUGUGAGCCAGCCGUGCCACUCCAGAGCAGGUGGUUCUAUUAGAAAGCAGGUUGAGCAAGCCAUGAGAAGCAAGCCAGUAAUCAGCAUUCCUCCAUGGCCUCUGCAUGAGUUCCUACCCUGACUUCCCUUCAUGGUGUAAGUGGUAAGAUAAAACAAACCCUUUCUUCCCCAGGUUGCUCUUGGUGAUGGCGUUUAUUACAGCAACAGACACCAAACUAAGAGAGAGAAUGAUGGGGGGAUAAUCUGAACAGAGAAGUUCAGAUGAAGGAAAACACACACGGUCUUUAAACACAGGUCGAGGAACUCAACAGAACACAGAGGUAAAACACAGCCUUCCAUCCAUCAAGUGUUCCAUCCAACACAAACAACCUGAAAGUACACACAGUGGUCAUAUGGUAGGGCACCUCCUCCCUGACUGGCUGGGGUGCCUCCAGGGAGGACAAUAUCACAGUCACUAGGAGAGCCCCUCUGUUGCCGCCCUUUGACCUAGCCACCCUGGGUGAAAACUCAAAUACAGGCAUUUGCCCUGCAGUGUUACUGGCACCCAUCCAAAUCAACAUACAUAAAUGGCUAUCAGCUACCAAACUGCGAAUUACAGAAGAUGGAAAUAACCGAAAUGUCCGUCAGUUGGGAAAUAAAUGACUAAAGUAUGGGGUAGUCAUGCAAUAGACAACAUAGUGGCUAUCAAAAGGAGGAAGAUCCUCUACACCAGCAUGAAUGACCCUGUUAUGUGAGCAAGAAAAUGUCCAGAACAGGAUUGUAACGUCCUGCCUUUUACAAACAAGAAAAGCUAACAGCAGUAACACCAAAGCGGAGUGCCAGGAUGAGUAUGGCCACUUGGGUAAGUGCCAAGAUAUGUCUCCACAGAGACAGGAUGCCAGGCCACACAGGAGAACUCCUCAAAUGAAGGAAGUGAAGGGCUGAGGGGCCAUGAGGAAACAGGACAGAAAAACAGCUCACAGGGCCUAAAGCUUGUGUCAUCUCAAUGAUCUUUUGGGGGUAAAGAAAGCAAGAAUGUCUUAUUUUUGAAAAAUUAACAAAACAUAAUCUUGCACAUACAUUGCUCAGGCUCCUCUCUGAAUCCUAGAAUGGCCUUGAAUACAAAACUUAGCUUCCCUGGAAAACUAUCUUGGUGCAGAGAAAGACAAUUCAUUUUAUGUUUUCUGUCACCUAAUGUUCA
ensembl:lincRNA